CGGGCGACCGGCGCACGGGUGAGUAACACGUAUGCGACCUGCCCGUAGCAGGGGGAUAAGCGGAAGAAAUUCCGUCUAAUACCGCGUAAUAUCUUUCGGGGGCAUCCCUGAGGGAUUAAAGGAAGUGAUUCCGGCUACGGAUGGGCAUGCGGCGCAUUAGCUAGUCGGCGGGGUAACGGCCCACCGAGGCGACGAUGCGUAGGGGUUCUGAGAGGAAGGUCCCCCACACUGGUACUGAGACACGGACCAGACUCCUACGGGAGGCAGCAG
rnacentral:rRNA from 1 species